GAUAACCUGCAGCCCAGCAUCCUAAACUGAGUCCCUGCCAACCUGCCCCGUAUGACGCUGAGUGCACAGCUUCCAGGGGUGGGACCGACGCCUUUGGGGGCUGCCAUUCAGCUGCCCCCACCCCGAGAUGACUCCUACGCUGUCUUAAUGCUGGUUUUGAUUUUUUUUUAAUUUUUUAUUUAUUUAUUUACGAUAGUCAUACAGAGAGAGAGGCAGAGACACAGGCAGAGGGAGAAGCAGGCUCCAUGCACCGGGAGCCUGACGUGGGAUUCGAUCCCGGGUCUCCAGGAUCACGCCCUGGGCCAAAGGCAGGAGCCAAACUGCUGCGCCACCCAGGGAUCCCUGGUUUUGAUUUUUUAAUAUUUUUUCAGCCUCUCACAGUCUCUGGGCCUCAGUUUCCCUGGUUGUAAAAUGAACAUUUGCCCCAGCACGUGGGCCCAGGGCCUCCCCAAGCCAACAGUGUGAGGGGCCAGCGCUCAGGGCUUGGGUGCCAGCCCUCAGGGCUUGGGUGCCAGCCCAGCAGGGGACCCCACCUCCUGUCCACCCCGGAUUCUGCACUGUGUUCAGAUGGCUGCUGUUUUUGUGAAAUCCGAGUUGCGCAUGCAUGUGGCUGAGAGGUACAGAGGCCCACCUGCCUACCCUCAGCCGUGAGCACCAGCGCUGCCACAUAGCACAGGACACGUGGGUGGCUACUCGGGAAGCCUCGGUGUCUGUACCCCUGCAGCAGCAAGUGGGGGCACCUGCCGGAACCAUGGCCGCUCCCUGCUCUGGGCUGCAGCCUGCCCCCCUCCUGUGGCCGUGGGAAGCCUUCCUUCCAGGGCAUUGCUCUGGCAGGCAAGGCAUUUGCACCCCAAGACCACAAAUACCUCUGUUUGGUUUGUUAGGGACACAGCACAGGCCAGGCCCGUGGCCAGGGUGGUGGAAUGGCCACUGUGCCCCCUUAUGCCUUACCCCACACACACCUUGGUGGGACACCGGCUCUGGGGUCUUUCCAGGCCCACAGACCAAGGCCCGAGGACAAAUAAGCCUCGCUCUCUACAUGCAUCGGAGCAGGUCCGGUCCCUGGGUUGGUCUCUGCUCCUGCCUUCCCUCUACAAACACUUCAUAAGACACCCCCCUCACCACCCCUCCCAGCUGCCACCGCCUGCCUCCCCCUGCCUCCCCCUGCCUCCCCCUGCCUCCCCAGUAGGGCAGAGGUCAGACAGCAGCACUUGCUUCUCCACAGGGGAUGGAAGCAAGCUUUCCCACACCAAAGGCUGAGCUGAAACCCAAAACCCAAGUGGGACCAGCUCUGCCAGAAGGGGAUGGCAGGGGAGCAGCAGGGCAGGGAGCAGCAGCAUGUCUGGGGAUAUGGGACUUGGCAGUGGGUGCAGCUGAUGGAGCGGCCACAUGGGCCCAGAGCACCGGGAUUUGGGGAUCAGAUGUGGGGCCCCAGCCAUGUGCUGGCUCAGGGGCAGCAUACAGCACUGGGAGAGGUGGGAGGCACAUGGUAACCAGGAAGAGGGGCCGCCACCCCGUGACACCUGCUGCCCGGGUCAGUCCUUGCACCCACUGGAGGGUGAGCCGGCAGGGGCUGGCAGCACAUGGGGAGGCAGGCUGCAUGCACCGGCGGUGACAGGUGAGCAAAGCCCGGGUCAUCCUAGAAAGGGGUGGGGACCACGCUCGGCAAAGCCACCAAGGUCAGCACAGCUGCUCCUCUGGGCCGGUGGGCAACUGCCCUCGUCACCCUCGCGAUGCUGAUCAGGCCCCCAGGCAGGGAAGGUGCCUCCUCUAGUGGUUCAGGGAAUUGGGAACCAAACCAGACGUUGGCUUCUGCUCUGCGGGGGCAGGGAGAGGUGCAGGUAUCCCGGGCUCACCCAGGGCUGCAGCUGAGGUCGGUGUCGCGCAGCUCAUCCCGAGUCUGCCCCUGGUUCGGACCCGCGGAGCCUCCCCUGCCUCAGGCACGGCCCCCGGUGCUGUGACCUGCUUGAGGCUGCCUCACCCAUUGCGGGAGCGAGCGUGCUACCCACACCCGGUGAGUGGAGGCCCCGGGCGCUGUGGACCAGCCACCAGGCUAGGACCCCCCAGCACAGAACGGUCAGCCUCCAGGGCCCUGGGUGCACCGCGGCCAGGGGCCCCAUGAACGGAUGCGGAGGUUUCACAGCAGAGACCCUGGAGCCCUGCCUCAGCUCUCCGCCUGCCCACGGACACAUCCCCUGCCCGAGCUUCUCAGCCCCUGGCCGGCGACGUCCUCGGUCAGGACUGGGCAACACACUGGCUGUGGCUUCCGAAGCACCUUACGUCCUCCAGAACAUUCCAUUGGAGAGCCAAGGCCUGUGGGAGAUCACGACUAUACCCGCCUGAGGGACAGGACACCCAGGGAGGUCGGAUUUCAGGCAAACAGUGAGCUCCACCCAUUACCCCGGGUGUGCCUGGGACCCAGGGCACCACUUGCGGGGCAGCCAAAGCCAGGAGGGCGUGGUAAAGACUGGGUCUUGGUCCCAAGCAUGUCCAGGGGGGCAGCAGCCAGGACAGCCGAUCCCUGGGGUGGCCUCCAAGUCCUCCUUGGGGUUGGGCCAGAGCUUGGAAGGCACAAAGACCGCCCCAAAUAGGAGACCCUGGUCUGUCCGGCCUGGCCGGGCAGUGGGUGGCAGACAGAGCGGACCUCAUAAGGACCUUGUAAAGACGAGCCUGGAGGGCAGAGGUGGAAGGUCGGCAUCUGUCUCCCCAGAGGGCAUGGGGUGGCUCUUCUGGCUGGACCAUGGGGGCAUGCCCGGAGCCUGGGCAGGCUAGAGAGACGGGAAGAAGGUAAACACAGCCACGGAGGACAAGGGCCACCUGGAGGGAUGGCAGGCCCCAGAGUCACGCCCUGAUGACACGGGGACCGCCAGCUGGGCCGGGGUGCUGCCCCUGCAUCCAGAGCCCCCGAGGAGGAGAGGAGGCCUCACCCCCCCGAGUGCAGCUCCCCAAGACGCCCAGGUGAACCCGUGUGCCGUCCAUGGGGUCCACCUGCCCGCUGCUCUCCCUAUGCCUCCUGAGGGACACUCCACUACGCUUGCUGCUGCUCUGUGGCCCUGGUGACCUUGUACUCUGAGGACGAAUGUGCACGGAAGGAAAGGGUUCAUACGCUGUGGGAAGUACCCCGUCCCUUGUCCCUCCCACGAUGCCCCAGGGACAGAGCUGGCCCCAAGGGGUUGGGCAGACUGGGGGCCAGGCCAGAGGAGCAGGUGGUGGCCAGAUCUGGGGUUUGCCCUUGCAGUGGGAGGGAGAGAGGGGGCAUCGCCUGAUCCCAGGGCCGGGGGGCUGCGCGGGGCGGGGGGUGGGUGCAGUGAGAGGGGCAGGG